CCAAUAACUCAAUUAGAUCACCCAGGCCCAAUCUAAACUCACCAUGACCCGGCCCAACUCACCUACAUAUUCUCUGCAAUAAACAAGAACAGUAGAAAACAGUAAUAGCCACCACAUCGACCACAUUCACAUACAACUCAAAAUCGAUCAACAACACUAAUAUCUCAACCCGAAUCUGAUCGACCUCAACCCAAAAACCUUGAAAUUGAUUUGACCCAACCCUUUUCCACGCAUCUCAUGCGGGUUUAUACAAAGAGGGCUCGAGAACAUUCUAGAAGAUCGAUUAGGUGUCAUCCUCCAACGUCCAACUCCGUGAAUCUCAAGAUAACAGUAUGAUUUCGGUGGUGGUGGAAAUCUGAAUUUAGCUCGUAGUACUAUUUUGCUGCACCAAAAUAGGUAAUAGCCCAUCCUGUUUAAUUUUUGAUUAUUUCUAUUUUAUUUCAAACUUUUGAAAUCCUAAGCUUUUAAUGACAUGAUAUGUUGUUUGUUUAAAUCUCUAAAGUUGUGAAAUUUGUAGCUACAUAAUGUACUUUUGUGAUUAAACUUCUAAAGUUAUAAGUUUUAGUGAUAUGGUGUGGUGGGAGUAGCUGUGGAUGGUGAUGAAAGCCGUAGGAUUAGUUUACAAUAAGUUGUUAUUCUGCUGAAUCAAUAACUAUUUCUAAUUUGACUGCUUCUGGAUAACUUUGCUGUUCUUGUGCCAAUACGAUCCUCAUAGCCUAAUCAUAAUUGUGUGAGAUUUUACUUGCUGUAGAAUUCUACAAGAUUUCUGUGAAUACCAUGCUAUUUCCAUCGAGUCGAUAUUCUCUCCAUAGUCAUUAUGCUUAUUGUCUAGCUUCUUUACUGGUUCAAUCAUCAGUUUGUUCACGGUUUCAUUAUGCAUAUUAAUGUCAAAUGUAAGUUUCGAUGAGUGCUACCCCGAUUUGUUGUAAUCAGAGUUUUUAUCUAUGCUUGGGUCGCUCUACAUGUUUUUUUCUUUCCUCUUUCUGGUUGUUCGACUUAUUUUAAAGUUUCUAUUUUUGAUGUUUCCUUUCUUAUUUGACAUCACUAGUAAGUUACUUAUGAGGUUCAAUUACCAACUCUAGUGUAUUUUUCCAUUAAUAGUGUGUAGCUUUAUUAAAGUUUGCAUUUGGUUCACCCCACUUCAAAAGAAAUUACCUGAAAGUUGUUUUUCUCAAGUCCAUUUAUUUUGACUAUGUGCUUUUAUGUGAUUCUUUGGCCAAACAUGUUUCUUUUCCCAAUUGUUUGUUUACAAGUUGUAUUUUUAUUAUGAUUUCUCUUCAUAUUUACUGAAACCCGCUAAGUUAGUUUCAAAUAUCUUUCUCCUUCCUAAAUUUCGAUUUACAUGUUUUUAUGAAUUAGUGACAAUCCUAAUUGCUUGACUUUACUAUGUUAUGUAUGCCUAUUUUCCUUGGUAUAUUCAUAUCUUACUUGCUACCUUUCAUUUUAUUAUAGGACUACCACAGAUCCUUUUUCAUCCAUCGAUCUAUCAUAUCGUUUAUUUGUUCGGCAUUUGGCAUUCUGGAUGUGUAUUGAUCUCAUUUAUUAUUUUACCCUGCAUGUGAAUUCAUUUUGGAGUCCGAAUGGAUUCUAUCCCUUUGCAUCUCUUAGUGGGCCAUUGAGGCCCGCCUUAUCUAUCAAGUCAAUCCCCAACUCGUAAUGUUCUUAAUUUACCUUAUAUAAUUUCCCUUUUUCCUUAUUGAUUCUAGUAGAUAAUGUACCUGAUUGUAAUUGUAUGCUGUCCACACAAAUUCAAAAGUAUAGUGUUUGUGCUUAAAUUGGUGUAAAAUGGUUUCUUUUAUCUGAAUCGCCCUAAUAAAGUGUUUUUGUGGAUUUUCUGUAAAAAUCCUAUUUGGAUAUGAGAUUCUAAUGUUGUAAUAAUUUAUUGUGCACGCCCAAAUUUGAAAGUUUAUGUUGACCCUUACCAUUCUCUGUCGAAUAUCAAUAUGACCCUCUUUCUCUUUUGUUGCUAGUUUGCUCAAACCUUGAUUGAUAUUACUUUUGUUUUCCAAUUUGGGAGACCCCACAACUUUCAGCUUGAUUUAUUGAUUACGUUUCCCAUAUGUUAUGCGCAAAUUUGAUCUUCUCUCACUCAACCUUGGCUCAGUAUACAUGACCUUCCUGUGAGUAAAGAUCGAUUUUCUUUAGUUCGUACAAUCAAUGAAUUUCUAGUUUACAUACAAGUUCACAAAUUCUCUUGAUAAUUUUAUUUCAAAUAAUAAUAGUAGUAAUGGCGACAGUAAGUAUCAAUUUGUAACAAGCAUUCUAGUUUCUUUAUUACCUUUAAGAAAACUUUGGUGAAAUAUUCCUUGGUGCAGUUCUAUCAUUUUUUUAAACCUUUGCAUUUAUUUGGUUGUUGAAGUUUUGUCUUUGCUUAAUUGAAAAAUCAUUAAAACUCAUUGCUUCAGUUACAGUUUUCUUUUCCGGUAUCCUUCUGCCUAUGAUCUAAUUUUUGUUCCUCCUAUUAUUUUUUAUUAUUCAUCGCGCCAUUUAUUUAUCUUAUCAAUUUUUUCUUGCCAUGCUUCUUAUCUGCCAUAACCUGGGUGUUGAAUCACCACUAAUGUUGCCUUAGUGGGAAACUGAUGGUUCCCUUUAUUAGAGUUAGUUCCUACUUUCUUGCUUAUCACAUGAGUUAAUAUUUAUGUUAUGUUCAAAAGACAUGUUUUUCCUUUUGUAUCACUUCUUGAAUAGGUACUAAUUUCUUCAAUUUUUUUCUUCUUUGCAUGAACUCGCUCGGGAGUCCAAUUAGACUCCUUUUCCUUGCAUUACACAAUGGGCCAUUGAGGCCCACUUUCUAGAAAACUUUGGAAGCCGAUCACGUAGUGCAUGGUUAUGAAGAGUCUAAUGAAGAAGAAUGGGUUGAAGUUUCCUUGAAGUGCCUAAGGGAUUUAAAAGUCUCGUUUUCUCUCAAAUUCAUUCAUAUUGUUGUCUUUAUUUUUUUAAUUUAUUCCUUUAUUUAUUUCACUAUUUAUUUAUUUAAGCUUUGAAGCCAAAGUUGUAUUUAAUA